UACGGAGGGUGCAAGCGUUAUCCGGAUUCACUGGGUUUAAAGGGUGCGUAGGAGGGCAGGUAAGUCAGUGGUGAAAUCUCCAAGCUUAACUUGGAACUGCCGUUGAUACUAUCUGUCUUGAAUACCGUGGAGGUGAGCGGAAUAUGUCAUGUAGCGGUGAAAUGCUUAGAUAUGACAUAGAACACCAAUUGCGAAGGCAGCUCGCUACACGAAUAUUGACUCUGAGG
rnacentral:rRNA from 1 species